rfam:Gossypium raimondii Chr09_contig_1812, whole genome shotgun sequence.
AAUUAAAAAUUUCAUCCAUUUGUACUAUUAAAAACUAGCGUAGCUGAUGAAUAGUCAGAUAGUAACACAUGGCAUGCCACGUGUGCCUCAUGUUAACGUACAAUGAUUAGUUUUUAACAAUAAAAAUUGAUGAAAUUUUUAACA